AGCAACUCACGAGGAAACACAUCCGCAGUCUUCACACCACCCCAGAGCGGUUGGAGAGGAAGAUGAUGUGUAUACAUGUGUGGAAGAUGCCUCUGAUUAGAAUGAAACAGGUACACAGGUACCCUAGAUGCCACUCCCCCAGUGUUGAAUGCAGUAACUCAGGAGCUGUCGAGCCAUACCUAUAACCAUACUAUAACCAUAAACAUGUGAAUAUGGCCACUGUCGAUUUCCAACAGACACCUAUAUUUAGAGCACUGCAGCUGGAUAUUCAAUAGGAAGCCAAUCCUUUUCUUAUACAUGGACAUACAAAUCUUGUACACAGAGAAGUGUUACAAUGUCAUUGUGCAUGUUGAUCUGAAUAAGAAACAUCAUCCAAAGAUUUCAUUUUUAUAUUAUUUCAGAUGAUUUAGCUUUUACCUGUCAUGCACAAACCUAUGUACUUGUACUUUUAAUCAAUAAAAAUGACAAAAAUAA